GACGAACGCUGGCGGCGUGCCUAAUACAUGCAAGUCGAACGCUUCUUUCCUCCCGAGUGCUUGCACUCAAUUGGAAAGAGGAGUGGCGGACGGGUGAGUAACACGUGGGUAACCUACCCAUCAGAGGGGGAUAACACUUGGAAACAGGUGCUAAUACCGCAUAACAGUUUAUGCCGCAUGGCAUAAGAGUGAAAGGCGCUUUCGGGUGUCGCUGAUGGAUGGACCCGCGGUGCAUUAGCUAGUUGGUGAGGUAACGGCUCACCAAGGCCACGAUGCAUAGCCGACCUGAGGGGGUGAUCGGCCACACUGGGACUGAGACACGGCCCAGACUCCUACGGGAGGCAGCAGUAGGGAAUCUUCGGCAAUGGACGAAAGUCUAACCGAGCAACGCCGCGUGAGUGAAGAAGGUUUUCGGAUCGUAAAACUCUGUUGUUAGAGAAGAACAAGGACGUUAGUAACUGAACGUCCCCUGACGGUAUCUAACCAGAAAGCCACGGCUAACUACGUG
rnacentral:rRNA from 1 species